CCAGUCCAGACAGAAUUAGGUUGUUUGAUUGUUUCUCCCUUUCUCUUACCUUAAUCGCAAAACACGCAGCCUCAUUCCUCAGGUAGAAGACUCAAAGUCGUUUCCCCUUCGUUUUUCAUCACUUCUUCUUCACUUAUCUAAGAUGUAAACUGAUUGCGCAUAAUUGCAUACCUCCGAUUGCACCUCGACUCCUCCGCUACAGCAACUCCGACUACACCUCGAGACCUUGCUUGCAGCAACUUCGCCCCCGGCUCAGUUUGUAGUUUCUAGUUCAAUCGAUACUUUUGGUGGUGGAAACGAUCUUGAAGCAGUUAUAUGAGGAUUUAAGAUGGACUGUGCUUAAGUGUUCAUAUCCAGGGCUCAUCUUCAACAAAAAAUGCAUCAAAGGGCUUAUAUCCAGGUUGAUCCUAUGUCUUCUGCAAGUUCAGGCAUGUUUGUGAACCUUAGUGUUGUUAUCCUUCGAUUGUGCAAGAUAAUUUUAUGAACUUGAUUAUCAUGUUCAUGGCAAGUCUAAAGUACAUAAGGAACCCUUUCUUAAGAGCCAAAAUGGUUGAAGUCUUUAAUUUUUGGAUGCCUCAGAGUGGCUCAUCUUCUGCUACCAGUAUACUUUUUUAGGGGCACCAACUCUCUAUUCAGUAUCUUGUGAAGAAUCUUUUGAAACUCUAUGUUGAUAUCGAGUUUACAGGAUCCCACACUUAGAUUCACAGAUUCACGGUUUCAUAGCUCCAUCACAUAUUCACGGUUACACAGUUUCAUAGAGAUUUACAGUUUGAAAUGUUUGAUGUAAUGGUUGCGUGUAUUAGUCUAAUCUUUAAUGUAAUGAAACAAUAUUUGAUGUUUUCAUUUACUGCUUUUUAUUUACUCUUUUGGUAGUUUUUUAGCUGUUUUGACAGCUUUAAUAUUACAGUUUUUUUAACA